rnacentral:tRNA from 1 species
GGUUGUAGCUCAGUGGUAGAGUGCUUGCCUAGCAUGCUAGGUGCUGGGUUCGAUUCUCAGCAUCA